CCUACGGGUGGCAGCAGUGGGGGAUAUUGCACAAUGGGCGCAAGCCUGAUGCAGCGACGCCGCGUGAGUGAAGAAGUUUUUCGGUUUGUAAAGCUCUGUCUGCAGGGGAGAAAAUGACGGUACCUGACUAAGAAGCUCCGGCUAACUACGUGCCAGCAGCCGCGGUAAUACGUAUGGAGCAAGCGUUAUCCGGAUUUACUGGGUGUAAAGGGAGCGUCGGCGGGCAUGUAAGUCAGAGGUGAAAAUUUGGGGGUUAACCCCAAACGUGCAUUGGAAAAUGCAGGGCUUGAGUGACGGAGAGGUAGGCGGAAUGCCUGGUGUAGCGGUGAAAUGCGGAGAUAUUAGGAAGAACACCAGUGGCGAAGGCGGCCUGCGGGACUUUAACUGACGCUGAGGCUCGAAAGCGUGGGGAGCAAACAGGAUUAGAUACCCUGGUAGUC
rnacentral:rRNA from 1 species